rnacentral:pre_miRNA from 1 species
GAUUUCAACUGAAAAAGUCAUCAACAACAAAGUUGUAUAACUCAUCAAUAUCUAUAACUUUUAUUUUGCUAAUUUUUUCAUUAGACAAAGUGAUAAUAACAUUGUUCAUAAAAUUCACACAUCUCUCAUCUGGUUUUAUAAACUGUAACACAUAUUUGUGAAUUUUGUGAAUGAUGUUAUUAACACUUUGUCGGAUGAAGAAAUGACAAAUAUAAAAGUUUUAGAUCUUGGUGAGUUAUUCGAAUUUGUUGUUGAUGACUUUUUCAGUUGAAAUC